AGAGUUUGAUCAUGGCUCAGGACGAACGCUGGCGGCGUGCUUAACACAUGCAAGUCAAGGGGGCCCGCAAGGGCAACCGGCGAACGGGUGCGUAACACGUGAGCAACCUGCCUAGAUGUGGGGGAUAGCCGGCCCAACGGCCGGGUAAUACCGCAUACGCUCACUGGGUGGCAUCACCUGGUGAGGAAACCUACGGGCAUCUAGAGGGGCUCGCGGCCUAUCAGCUAGUUGGUGGGGUAAUGGCCUACCAAGGCAUCGACGGGUAGCUGGUCUGAGAGGAUGGCCAGCCACAUUGGGACUGAGAUACGGCCCAGACUCCUACGGGAGGCAGCAGUGGGGAAUAUUGCGCAAUGGGCGAAAGCCUGACGCAGCGACGCCGCGUGGGGGAUGAAGCAUUUCGGUGUGUAAACCCCUGUUGCUCGGGACGAAAAAGCGAUUCUGAUCGCUCUGACGGUACCGAGUGAGGAAGCACCGGCUAACUCCGUGCCAGCAGCCGCGGUAAUACGGAGGGUGCGAGCGUUGUCCGGAAUCACUGGGCGUAAAGGGCGCGUAGGCGGUCUGUUAAGCGUGUGGUGAAAGCUCGGGGCUCAACCCCGAGUCUGCCAUGCGAACUGGUGGACUUGAGCACUGUAGAGGCAGGUGGAAUUCCGGGUGUAGCGGUGGAAUGCGUAGAGAUCCGGAAGAACACCGGUGGCGAAGGCGGCCUGCUGGGCAGUUGCUGACGCUGAUGCGCGACAGCGUGGGGAGCAAACAGGAUUAGAUACCCUAGUAGUCC
rnacentral:rRNA from 1 species